rnacentral:piRNA from 1 species
UUCAUGGGGUGCCUCAUGAUGAU